UGCACUUACAUCAAUGAUUGCUGCUGCACUGCUAUCAAGGUGUUUGUACAAGUCAUACAACACCUCUCUCAGUUUCUUCAUUGUUUUCUUAUUGGGUUGAAGGAGCAUUGCCUGGAAGUUAACUGGUAAACCAUACCU